AACGCACGAGACCUGCGGACCUGCGGAAGGAUCAUUAAUGAGAGGCUGCCCCUCGUGGGUAGACCUCCCACCCUCUGUGAACUUACCUUUGUUGCUUUGGCAGGCCCGUCCUCUGGACCGCCGGCUUCGGCUGGCCCGUGCCUGCCAGAGGAUUCCAAACCCUGUCUGUCAGUGUUGUCUGAGUCUAUAUGAAAUCGUUAAAACUUUUAACAACGGAUCUCUAGAUCGGAAGAGCACACG
rnacentral:misc_RNA from 1 species